UAUGGGGGCAUGCACAAACGGGCCACAACACUAUGGUGAAAAAGAUGCAGCAACGUGAUGGUGGUGGUGGUGGUGAAAGGCUCGCCGUUGUCGGCCUCACAGAGGUAUGUCACAGUCGGCCUUUCUAAGAAACGAAGCACAAAGGACUCAGAAUCGUGCCCAAAGAGAAGCAACUCGUGCGGAUGUAACGAACUCCAGCGGUGUUAUGGUUACAGGCCGAUUAGAAAAGGAAUCGGGAACAGAUUGUGAUUCCCUUCGACUGAAGCGAAGCGUGCGGGGAACUUUCCCAUGACCAGGCCGCCCAGCGCGCCAUCACCUGGACGCCUUCUGCGGUUCUCCACGGCUCCUAUUUGGCUGGAGCUUCUAUGAACUCUUUUAUGCCCACCUCGGUCGGUGGUGCGGUUACAAAAGCAGUAAGAAUUGAAUAUCGAGCUGCGUUGCCUGGCUAUCGUCCAGCGAAACGGUCUGUAAUGGACCCACUGUUCGAGCCCACAGAUGUUCGCACAUGGCUGCUUUUUGUGAACAUCUCAAUUGCGAUACAAACGACCCCAAGUUGUCAUGGCGGUCGAUCACAAUUGACAACCUCAUAAAUAUCACCAUCUUUA